rnacentral:rRNA from 1 species
AUGGAUGGAUGCUUGCAGGUGGUGGAGCUGAAGGUCGGGAUGCACUGCGACAGGUGCAUCAAGUCGAUCAAGAAGGCGAUCAAGACGAUCGAUGACAUGGAGAGCUACCAGCUCGAGAAGGAGACGAACAAGGUGACCGUGACGGGGAACAUCACCGCGGAGGAAGUGGUGAAGGCUCUGCAGAAGAUCGGGAAGACGGUAACUUACUGGGGUGAGUGA